rnacentral:rRNA from 1 species
CGCCUCUUGAAUAAAUAUAAGAGGUCCAGCCUGCCCAGUGACUCUGUUCAACGGCCGCGGUAUCCUAACCGUGCGAAGGUAGCGUAAUCACUUGUUCUUUAAAUGAGGACUAGUAUGAAUGGCACCACGAAGGUUAUACUGUCUCCUCUCUCUAAUCAGUGAAACUAAUCUCCCCGUGAAGAAGCGGGAAUAAACAUAUAAGACGAGAAGACCCUAUGGAGCUUUAAACUAUGUAACACUUGCACCACCACAGCACAAAUUUCAGAAAAAUCUCUCCAACGCAUGCAAGCUUAUUACCAGUUUUAGGUUGGGGUGACCGCGGAGCAAAAAACAACCUCCACAUUGAAAGGAACUUACUCCUUAGCCAAGAGCCACACCUCCACGCACCAUUAUAAUGACAUUAAUUGACCCAAUAUUUUGAUCAACGAACCAAGUUACCCUAGGGAUAACAGCGCAAUCCAUUUCAAGAGCUCCUAUCGACAAAUGGGUUUACGACCUCGAUGUUGGAUCAGGGUAUCCCGGUGGUGCAGCCGCUACCAAAGGUUCGUUUGUUCAACGAUUAAAACCCU